ACUGCCGGUGACAAACCGGAGGAAGGUGGGGAUGACGUCAGGUCAUCAUGGCCCUUACGGCCUGGGCUACACACGUGCUACAAUGGUCGGUACAAAGGGUUGCCAAGCCGCGAGGUGGAGCUAAUCCCAUAAAACCGAUCGUAGUCCGGAUCGCAGUCUGCAACUCGACUGCGUGAAGUCGGAAUCGCUAGUAAUCGUGAAUCAGAAUGUCACGGUGAAUACGUUCCCGGGCCUU
rnacentral:rRNA from 1 species